AUAAGGGAGACUAGCUGUUGGAUCGUGAGUGCUGGCACAGAGGUGGCCAGGUGGGCUGCCUGCUCCUCUUCCCUUCCAUGCUUGGUCUGUGUGCCUCCCAGCAACGAGCUGACAGACUGAGAACAAAGGAAACAUUUCCGCCUGCAACCUAUUAUCUGAAAUAUUUGUGCUAACUCAUGUCAGCAUUUCAGUAGUGAGAGGUAAGAAAUCAUUGCCUGCAUUUCCACUGAGACAGUUCUGCUGUCAGCAGACUCCAGUUCUUCUGGUCUCCUCCUCCCCUCCUUUUUCACAGAUUAGCUUCUCACUGAAAUGGAAAAUUGUCUUCAGACGAUGUUGGCAGAGGAAUCCUUAUAAGGAGUUUCAGCAAGUUGUGGCCUCAUUUAAGAGCACAGAUGGAAAGGGGGCACUGGAGGGCCAGCAUCCCUCCCUGGGGAGAAGGAGAGAGGAUGACACGUGUCAGCUCGCUGAGGAAUGAGAGCACACAGAGAGCAGUGGCUGCCUUGCCUCUAAGAACACCUUGCCACAACUUCUGACCUGUCCCAGAGGAAACAAGCCCUGGUUUUACCGCAGUUAAACUCACUGACCUUAGCUGAGCCAGUCUUGCCUGUGAACUGGAGCUUCAGGGAUCUCCAAACGCUGCCAUGUGAUGGCUGCGUCAAAUGACCCGCGUCAAGCACUGAAGGACAACAGUGAGGUUGGCUCAGUGUCCACCUCAGCCACUUCUAAGAGCCACCUCACAAAGAGGUGACGUUCAACAGGCGGCCACACUUGGCCAUCCCAGCAGUGCCCAGCAGUGCCAAGCGUGGGCGGACUGGGGCAGGAGCAGCCGGUGGGGUGGCCCUUAGGGACCCAUGUCCUUGCUGUGCCAAUGAACCAAGGAGCACUGGCUGUUCCCAGCUUCCUGUUGCUGCUGAUACAAGCUGGGUGCAUGCUCCCCAGCCAGGCUCAUCACUGUUUUACUCUUCAAAAAAAGCAUGCACUCGGGUGACUUGUUACAGAUUCGCAGCACCAGGAAUUAGGGGCAUUUUUCAAUGCAAAAAUGAUGUUAUAUCAUUACAUGUGCUCUCAGGGCACCGCAGCAUGAGGAAAGCAGGAAAACAUCUCUCCCCUUAGAGCAGGACGAUUUUCUAACUGGGAUAAGAGAAGAGUUGUCCUGGGUGAGAGCCAGGCAGAAUGGAUUGCUGGCCAAGGGAGAAGCUUUAGUCCUCUAAUGUCUCUCCAAAAUCCCAUUGGCAAAGCUGAGUUACACCACUGAGAAAUAAACAUCCUCAUUUUAAGAACUGCAGUGACAAAAACUGUACAAGACACAGGCAACGGGCACUAGGACUUGGCACACAUCCCUUACAUUCCUCCUUGUCUCAGUCAGAAACAUUAAUGGACCUUUUGCCUGGCGUGACCUAAAGCAGUAAUGCCUUCUUAAGAGGCAGAGAGGUUUCUUAAACUCAUAUGAUUCUCAUCUCAGGCUUACCUAUCCCUAAUGAGCCAACACUUUGGUGAAGCUUAGCAACUCCAGGGCUUGUAACUAAACCUGAAACAAGAGGACUCUUGCAGAACAUGGAUCAAAACCAAAACCAAACCUUCAGCUGUCCAGUGGAGAACUCACAUCACGGUAUAAGGCUGUGCUGUGCACAGACACUAUAUAAAAUCUUGCCAAGGGCAAAGCCACAAUGCCGAUAAA